rnacentral:rRNA from 1 species
UACGUAGGGGGCAAGCGUUGUCCGGAAUCAUUGGGCGUAAAGAGCGUGUAGGCGGCCAGAAAAGUCCGCUGUGAAAACUCGAGGCUCAACUUCGAGCUGUCGGUGGAAACUUUCUGGCUAGAGUCCGGAAGAGGAGAAUGGAAUUCCUGGUGGUAGCGGUGAAAUGCGCAGAUAUCAGGAAGAACACCCGUGGCGAAGGCGGUUCUCUGGGACGGUACUGACGCUGGAGACGCGAAAGCCGUGGGGAGCGAACAGG